AACGAACGCUGGCGGCGUGCCUAACACAUGCAAGUCGAGCGAGAAGUCCCGCAAGGGAUUGUAAAGCGGCGGACGGGUGAGUAACGCGUAGGUAAUCUUCCUUCUAGUGGGGAAUAACGUUCCGAAAGGAACGCUAAUACCGCAUGUGUAUCUUGGUCGAUGGAUCGAGAUACAAAGGGGCCUCUCGCAAGAGGGUCUCGCUAGUUGAUGAGCCUGCGUCCCAUUAGGUAGNGGUGAGGUAAUGGCUCACCAAGCCGACGAUGGGUAGCUGGUCUGAGAGGACGACCAGCCACACUGGAACUGACACACGGUCCAGACUCCUACGGGAGGCAGCAGUGGGGAAUAUUGCGCAAUGGGGAACCCUNACGCAGCGACGCCGCGUGGGUGAUGAAGGCCUGGUUGU
rnacentral:rRNA from 1 species